GAUGAACGCUGGCGGCGUGCCUAAUACAUGCAAGUCGAGCGAACAGACGAGGAGCUUGCUCCUCUGACGUUAGCGGCGGACGGGUGAGUAACACGUGGAUAACCUACCUAUAAGACUGGGAUGACUUCGGGAAACCGGAGCUAAUACCGGAUAAUAUAUUGAACCGCAUGGUUCAAUAGUGAAAGACGGUUUUGCUGUCUCUUAUAGAUGGAUCCGCGCCGCAUUAGCUAGUUGGUAAGGUAACGGCUUACCAAGGCAACGAUGCGUAGCCGACCUGAGAGGGUGAUCGGCCACACUGGAACUGAGACACGGUCCAGACUCCUACGGGAGGCAGCAGUAGGGAAUCUUCCGCAAUGGGCGAAAGCCUGACGGAGCAACGCCGCGUGAGUGAUGAAGGUCUUCGGAUCGUAAAACUCUGUUAUUAGGGAAGAACAAAUGUGUAAGUAACUAUGCACGUCUUGACGGUACCUAAUCAGAAAGCCACGGCUAACUACGUG
rnacentral:rRNA from 1 species